GCAUGGCGGAGUGGAGGAAGAGGCGGGCCACAACAGGUGACCUUGUCUGAUGAGAGUAUCAGGGUGUUUUCUUCUUGCUCUGCUGGCACCACUACUGUCUUUGGAAAGAUUAUCGGCAAGGCAUAUCACUGAUAUCGUCUGUGACGAGGACGAGGAGGGGGCACAUCUGCUGAUAAUAGGCUAUUGAAUGUCAGUGCAUGACUGAUAAGAACUAUAGCAUCCCAUUGUGAGAUGCUCUGCCCAGAGGAAAGAGCCAAGCAUUCUACCAAGAUAUAAUCUGGACACCAACACAGCUUUCUCCACUGGAUUUUCCCAGAGGAACAGCUGCUCUCUUCCACUGGAUCUUCAGAGGAAGACUACACCUUUCUACAGGAUCCCUGCUCCAACAGAACGACACCUGACACUCCAGGAGGACUGGAAAGACUGCAGCCACAAUUCCAAUUGGACUGCUACCAACACCCUGACCAACAGGGUGUCAGGUUGUGUUCUGACUCUGUCAGUGUUGUUUUAGUUUACUGCAUUAUUUUAUUUUUUUAUUUUCUUCCCUAGUAAAAAAUUGUUAUUCCAGCUCCCAUAUUUUUUGCCUGAGAGCCCCUUAAUUUAAAAUUUAUAGCAAUUUGGAGGGAGGGGGUUUACAUUUUCCAUUUCAGGGGAGGCUCCUGCCUUCCUUAGCAAACACCUGUCUUUCAAAACCAAGACACCUCUUCUUGGAACUAUUCAAACCUGCUCCAGACCAGGACCCAGAGAAACACCGAGAACACUUUGUAGCCUGCCAGGGUCCACUCUGCAGCCUUUCCCAGUGCUGGAGGGACUAAUAACAGAGCGACCACUCACCGGAGAGACUUUCUGAAAUUGUCAUCUCUUCAGAGCAGCAAAUGAGUUUUGUCAUCUGGUAUUGUUCAUUUUGUUUGCUGGGGACUGCUUUGCCUGCUAAAUAAACAGGUUCAUUCCA